UACGUAGGGUGCAAGCGUUGUCCGGAAUUACUGGGCGUAAAGCGUGCGCAGGCGGUUCGUUGUGUCGGCGGUGAAAGCCCCGGGCUCAACCUGGGAAUGGCCGUUGAAACUGGCGAACUGGAGUGUGGCAGAGGGGGGUAGAAUUCCACGUGUAGCAGUGAAAUGCGUAGAUAUGUGGAGGAACACCGAUGGCGAAGGCAGCCCCCUGGGUCAAGACUGACGCUCAUGCACGAAAGCGUGGGGAGCAAACAGG
rnacentral:rRNA from 1 species